rnacentral:rRNA from 1 species
GACGAACGCUGGCGGCGUGCUUAACACAUGCAAGUCGAACGGAAAGGCCCUGCUUUUGUGGGGUGCUCGAGUGGCGAACGUGUGAGUAACACGUGAGUAACCUGCCCUUGACUUUGGGAUAACUUCAGGAAACUGGGGCUAAUACCGGAUAGGAGCUCCUGCUGCAUGGUGGUGGUUGGAAAGUUUCGGCGGGUGGGGAUGGACUCGCGGCUUAUCAGCUUGUUGGUGGGGUAGUGGCUUACCAAGGCUUUGACGGGUAGCCGGCCUGAGAGGGUGACCGGCCACAUUGGGAAUGAGAUACGGCACAGACUCCUAAGGGAGGCAGCAGUGGGGAAUAUUGAACAAUGGGAGGAAGCCUGAUGCAGCAACGCCGAGUGCGGGAUGACGGCCUUCGGGUUGUAAACCGCUUUCGACUGUGACGAAGCGUGAGUGACGGUAAUGGGUAAAGAAGCACCGGCUAGAUACGUG